GACGGAAGGUGCAAGCGUUGCUCGGAAUCACUGGGCUUAAAGGGUGCGUAGGCGGCCGUGCAAGUCUGGCGUGAAAGCCCCGGGCUCAGCCCGGGAAGUGCGCUCGAAACUGCGCGGCUCGAGUGCCGGAGGGGAGAGUGGAAUUCCUGGUGUAGCGGUGAAAUGCGUAGAUAUCAGGAGGAAUACCGGUGGCGAAAGCGACUCUCUGGACGGCAACUGACGCUGAGGCACGAAAGCGUGGGGAGCAAACAGG
rnacentral:rRNA from 1 species